UACGAAGGGGGCUAGCGUUGUUCGGAAUUACUGGGCGUAAAGGGCGCGUAGGCGCCUUCUAAGUCGAACGUGAAAUCCCCGGGCUCAACCCGGGAACUGCGUCCGAUACUGGAAGGCUUGAAUCCGGGAGAGGGAUGCGGAAUUCCAGGUGUAGCGGUGAAAUGCGCAGAUAUCAGGAAGAACACCCGUGGCGAAGGCGGCUCUCUGGGACGGUACUGACGCUGAGACGCGAAAGCGUGGGGAGCGAACAGG
rnacentral:rRNA from 1 species